CGGGCGCUCACUGGCCGGGGUCCCCGUGCCCAGUCCCCUUGUCCUUCCCGGUGGCGCGGGGAGGAGACGCGAGGGGCGGGGAGGAGGCAGUCCCGGCGGCGCCUCCUCCUCCUCCUCCUCCUCCCGCCGGUCCCGCUUGCCCGGCCGGGCCAAACAGAGGUAGGGGCCAGGGGGCGUCUCCCAGCCAGCAGGAACCCCUGGGCACCCGUGUGGUCGGGGGAGCUCUGCCCGCCGCUCCUAGACGCGGCGUUCGCCGGCCGCCACCGCGCGCCCUCUGGGUCCCCGGUCCGGCGCCCCGCAGCUCAGCGCAACCGCGUGAGGCGGCGAGACGCACGCCAGUCCGCCGCCGGACGCCGAAUUCUCGUCUCUCCCGCUAGCCGGGCGGCCUCCGGGCUCUCCCCGGGGACCGCGCGCGCGAGUUGGCGCGCUCCUGCCAAGCGGGGCGGACCCAGCGGGCCCCGGGCGUCUGAGCUCUUCGCCAGCGCAGAGUGCGCGGGGCUUGGCACCUUCCCGCGACUGGAGCCGGGCCAGCGCCACUGGUGGCUGAGGGGCCCGACCCCGCGGGGGAAAAGCCCGGAAUUCCCGCAUGUCGGUGGGACUGGUAACCCCAGGUCUUAGAUGACCGGACCCGAGGGCUCUCCAAACUGGCCAUUCCAGCUGCUGAUUUCAGGGGUCCCCAGAAGCAGCGGGCGAGGCCGCCGUGAUUUCUCUUCAUUUAUUUCCUCACUUCUCUAAAGGACCUGCCACGAUCCCGCGAGCGCAAAGACAAAACCACGUAUAUGUUUUAUUCCUGUUAUUUAUUGCCCAGAUCUCAGUAGGAAUAUAAAGGCUGGAAAGGAGUUCGGUGACAUCGCACCCCCAAGAUCACCGCCUCUGAAGCUCUGUUGGUUGCUGGGAAGCCAGUGUGCGCCAGUUCACCUGCACACACCGGUUUACAGUUGUGGACGCAGGCAUCCUGCGCUGAGGAGUCACCCCGCAAAGUGGUAGCACGGGUAGAGGUCUGGGGAGGCACCUGGUGCCGCAGAAACAUCUAGAAGCUGGGCAAAGACCUCGGAGAGUGGUUACCCUGGAGAUCCUUACCCUCCGUCGGGCACACGGCUUUUUAAAUCCUGACACGGGCAGCACCGAAAAGCGUCCCUUGGGUGCGUUGGAAGCCAGAGCGCACGUCAGGGUGCCCCACGGCCUGGAAAGAAGUUUGCUGAAGGUCUCAAGCCAACCCAUCCUCCUCCCGCAGCCACGUGAAGGAAAAUUCUGGAGAUGGGUUCUCCAGGACUGGCAACUAAUUGAAUUCCCUGAAAGAUGCUUUCUUCUCUCCCUAGACUGUGAGUUUCUGUCAACUUCCCUGCCAGUUUCAGGAAGGACAGAGCUUUUAACUGCUCCACAUAGUGGCAUGAUGUUUCUUGGUAUAAUGGGGCUUCUGAGACCAGACGUUCCUCUGCUAAAUGCUGGCUGGUUUGACGCUCUCUGCUGUCUCCAGUACCUCAUCCUUUGGUUUCCUAUCUCUCCACAAGACCUGCCUUCUCUUUUCUAUCCCCCUGAGGAGCGCCUUCUAGCCCAGGAAUGUCUCCCUUCUUGGAGACCAUAUUGCACUGCUGGUCUGCACAUCUCACUUGGCAAUUAAUCACGU